UACGGAGGGUGCGAGCGUUGUCCGGAAUCACUGGGCGUAAAGGGCGCGUAGGUGGCCUGUUGAAGUCUGCGGUGAAAGCCCGGCGCUCAACGCCGGGUCGGCCGUGGAUACUCUCGGGCUUGAGCUUACUAGAGGCAGAUGGAAUUCCGGGUGUAGCGGUGGAAUGCGUAGAGAUCCGGAAGAACACCGGUGGCGAAGGCGGCUCCCUGGUCCGGUUCUGACGCUGAGACGCGAAAGCGCGGGGAGCGAACGGG
rnacentral:rRNA from 1 species